rnacentral:rRNA from 1 species
AUGGCGGAGGCCGCGGCAGCAAGAGCAGCGCCCCUCCACCGCGGCCUCCCAGACGAGAUCACCACCUGGGAGAUCCUCGUGCGCCUGCCCCCCACAGCCCUCCUCCGCUGCCGCGCCACCUCCGCACCUCCCCCCCACGCCCGCCAGGCCUCCCUCCCCCUCCUCGACGGCACCGACCGCCAUAGCCUCUUCGCCUUCGACCACCGGCCCGCUGCCGCCGAGCAGCUCCAACCCGUCGCCCGGCUCCGGCUGUCCGACUCCUGCGACGGCCUCCUCGUCCUUCACAAUCUUGGCACGCCUGGCCUCUCCUACUCCAUCUUCAACCCGGCCACUCGCCAGUACGCCUCUCUAUGA